GAAUAACAAAGACACCCCUGGGAUGAAGAGGGGCUUUGUCACACACAUGAAGAGGCAUUUCAUGGUUAAUCAGAACAUUUCCACUCCCGACCGGCUUGCCCCUCACCCCAGGCUCAGUGCCGGCUGCCCUGCCGGAGGGUACUGGCAGGAGCCUCUCGUGCAGGGCUGUCUGGUUCUCUUCUCCAGCCUGUUUCCGCAUAGCAACACAUCCUGUGUAGCCCGCACCAUCUCACCAACCUUCCCGUUAGAAAUGUCAAGUGAACGCAACUGAGACACCCUGGGGGCGGCCAUAUGCCUGGCUGUUGUAUUAGUCUGUGCUCGGUAACUAAGCUGUUCAACCUCCACCUAGUGGCCAGGAGUCCCAAGCAGGGAAAAGGAAGGAAGAGUCUGCCAGCUUUGAGAAUAAGAGUUGUGCAAAUGGACACUUGCUAUCAACUCAAGUGACUCCCACUGACAGCCUGCUACCGUGCCAUGCUUCUCUGGGCUUUGGAACAAAGGGAGCUAUGAAACACCAACUACUGGCCAUUCAUUUAGCUUCCUCCUCUCAAAUACUCCCCGAGCCCGCAGGUCUCCAGGCAACAACGGGGUGAUACAUACCGAGACUGACGGCGACCUCAUCUAGGGAGAUGGUGGUUUUCUCCGUU